rnacentral:rRNA from 1 species
GAGUUUGAUCAUGGCUCAGGACGAACGCUGGCGGCGUGCUUAACACAUGCAAGUCGAGCGAUGAAGCUUCCUUCGGGAAGUGGAUUAGCGGCGGACGGGUGAGUAACACGUGGGCAACCUGCCUCAAAGAGGGGAAUAGCCCUCCGAAAGGAGGAUUAAUACCGCAUAAAGUUAGAGUUUCGCAUGAAACUUUAACCAAAGGAGUAAUCUGCUUUGAGAUGGGCCCGCGUCCCAUUAGCUAGUUGGUAAGGUAAUGGCUUACCAAGGCAACGAUGGGUAGCCGACCUGAGAGGGUGAUCGGCCACAUUGGAACUGAGACACGGUCCAGACUCCUACGGGAGGCAGCAGUGGGGAAUAUUGCGCAAUGGGGGAAACCCUGACGCAGCAACGCCGCGUGGGUGAUGAAGGUUUUCGGAUCGUAAAACCCUGUCUUCUGGGACGAUAAUGACGGUACCAGAUGAGGAAGCCACGGCUAACUACGUGCCAGCAGCCGCGGUAAUAC